rnacentral:SRP_RNA from 1 species
CCGUGCUAGGCGGGGCGUUAGCGGUGCCCUGUACCCGCAAUCCGCUAUAGCGGGGCUGAAUUCCCGUCCGAGGCUCGUUUCUUGUGGGGUCUGCCCCCAAGUGAGCCGAUGUUGACAGUCGGGUCUUGCGCAACAAGUACUCACGAACCCCGUCAGGUCCGGAAGGAAGCAGCGGUAAGUGAAUCUACUUGUGUGCCGCAAGGGUGCCUGGCUCGAGUCGGCAGCUUGGGUAACGCCCGGAAGAGCGAAUCGACGACGGGUGCACGG